CCUCUCUCCCCAAGUUCCUCGUACAUGCGACCGAACGCCGCGCUUUUAGCUUCCGUGACUGCCAUCUUUGCUUCUUUCCUCGCCACCUUGUAGAUCACCCUGUUCGGUCUCCGUUCUUCCUCGCUUGUGCUCCCCGCCAACCUAGCGUAACGCUGCCUUCUUCACCUCCAUAUUUCCUUUGACUAUAUCGUUCCACCACCAAUCACCCUGAUGUCUGCCUGAAUAUCCCUUGGCUACCCCGAGCACGUCCCGUGCUACCCCCCUAACCAAGNNN
rnacentral:lncRNA from 1 species